AAAUAUUGGUCGUAGUUAGAAGUUGAAUUUGAACAGUUUAGCAGGGUGUGAUAGGAUUUGCGAGAAUCACCUAAUUCUAAGUUGGAGUUUCAUUUCAUCUUUAAUUGCAACUCCUCUUCUGGUUUUUCAAUUCUAGUAAGAUAGAUUUGGUUGAGACUGUUGAGUCCAUCAUCAUCAACAAUUGCCAGCAGUCACUGUCGGCUCCCACUAGUCACGGCCUACCAUUGUUUACCUUUUAUUUAUUUAUUUUUUUAUGUUGAUAUUUUGGACAGAGGUACUGAAUUAUUGAUGGGAAAGUUAGGUUUUAGGACGAUGAUGUGAAAAGUAUAUGAUUUUGAUAACCUAAGUAUAUAAAAUAUGAGAUACAAUUAUUAAUAGAUAAAAUAAUAUCUAAAACAUGCACUAUCUCUUGUUUACUUUUCUUCUUCCCAUAUUACCCCUAAAUUUCUCUAUGUCAUCAGAAAAUUGUUCUGCUGACUCCCAUUAUUGAUUGUCCAAACCUAGUGCAGUCUUAUUUGACCUUUUAUAUUGGAUAUGGUAUAUCUCUGUGUUCCAAACCAGCCACAAAAAUAAGUAUUCCGUUACCUGCCUUGAAUCUUUGCACCAACAUAAAAUUGUGCCUUGAAAUUAUCUUAAGAGUUGGGACAUGAUGCAGGGGAAUCCAUGAAAUUCGCUGUGUAAGAAGGAAGGUGCUACUUGAAACCCUCGAGAGGGAGUUGCCUCGUGGCAGUAUCAGGU
rnacentral:lncRNA from 1 species